rnacentral:rRNA from 1 species
CCCUGAUCCAGAUCCUACCUUAGCCUCCUCUUCUCUCCCCGAUCUAGAUCCAACCGACCUCUCCCCCUCCCCGCUGCCUCCCAUCCACACGCCGCAUCGCCAAAGCCCUCCUCCAAAUCCCUCAACACGCUGGACAAUGUGCUGCCGGCCCCAAGAAGGCCGCCAAGCUGCUCUCCAUGGUGCCCGCCGUCGCCGUCGCCCGCUCCCCCAAAGCCCGCAUCGCCGGCUUCGUCACCAGAUUCCUGUAGCACCCCACCAGUCGUCGCCUUGCCCGAAGAGCUCACACGCCCCCCCUCCGCUCCCGGCAUCGUCGUCCCUAUAGAGAAGUGGAUCCUCCCGCCGCAACAUCCCGCCCGAUUCCGGUGUCCUUCGGCGGCGCCCAACACACCACCGUGACCCCCUCCCCGCCAUCUUCCUCCCUUGCACAAGCCGCUUGAAUCCUCCCACAGGUCGGCAGUGGCUGGGCUGGAGACACUGCUUCCCCUGCACA